rnacentral:rRNA from 1 species
CGAGAGGCCCAAACGUUAUUCGGAUUUACUGGGCUUAAAGAGUUCGUAGGCGGUUCGGUAAGUGGGGUGUGAAAGCCCUCGGCUCAACCGAGGAAUUGCGCUCCAAACUGCCGGGCUCGAGGGAGAUAGAGGUGAGCGGAACUGAUGGUGGAGCGGUGAAAUGCGUUGAUAUCAUCAGGAACACCAGAGGCGAAGGCGGCUCACUGGGUCUCUUCUGACGCUGAGGAACGAAAGCUAGGGGAGCAAACGGGAUUAGAUACCCCGGGAGUCCUAGCCGUAAACGAUGAGCACUGGACCGGAGCUCUGCACAGGGUUUCGGUCGUAGCGAAAGUGUUAAGUGCUCCGCCUGGGGAGUAUGGUCGCAAGGCUG